rnacentral:rRNA from 1 species
UACGGAGGAUGCGAGCGUUAUCCGGAUUUAUUGGGUUUAAAGGGUGCGUAGGCGGACUGUCAAGUCAGCGGUAAAAUUGAGAGGCUCAACCUCUUCCCGCCGUUGAAACUGGUGGUCUUGAGUGGAUGAGAAGUACGCGGAAUGCGUGGUGUAGCGGAGAAAUGCAUAGAUAUCACGCAGAACUCCGAUUGCGAAGGCAGCGUACCGGCAUCCAACUGACGCUGAGGCACGAAAGCGUGGGGAUCAAACAGG